UUGGUCAAUAGCCUAUUUCGCUGAACCAGCAACUUGGAGGAAUGUAUAGAGAAAGCCGGUAAAAAGGCAAAGUACCUAAUAGUAUUAGUAAUAAAUAUGAAAUUAACUUAGUUAAUUAAAAUUCUAAGUAGAUAUGUGAUUAUGACAAUAUUUACUGAUUUCUUGACAAAGUCACGUGCCAGCAGUCGCGGUAAUACGUGGUAGAUCAGUGUUAUUCAUCUUUAAUAGGUUUAAAGGGUACCUAGACGGUUAAUUAAGCAUAUAAGUGUACUAAUUAUUAACUAGAGUUUAAUGUAAGAAGGUUUGAGUACGGUGAGUGUAGGGAUAAAAUCCUGUUAUACCACUUAGGAACUGGUAAAGGCGAAGGCAACCUUUUAUGUAAAAACUGACGUUAAGGGACGAAGGCUUAUGUUAAAUAACAGGAUUAGAGACCCUGGUAUUGUGAGCAGACAAUGAUGAGUGUCAUAUGCAAGAAAAAAGAAAAAAAAAAAGACUUUUUGUGUAUAAAUGAAAGUGUAAGCACUCCACCUCAAGAGUAACGUGGCAACAUGGGAACUGAAAUCAUUAGACCGUUUCUGAAACUCGUAGUGAAGUAUGUUGUUUAAUUUGAUAACCCUCAAAUAACCUUACCACAAUUUGUAUUACUAAUUUUUUAGUAACAAGCGUUGCACGGCUGUCUUCAGUUAAUGUUGUGAAACUUUGGUUAGAUCCAUUUAAUUGACGUAAACCCUUGCUUUAAUUGUUUUAAAGCAGUUCGCCACUAUAUUGGUAGUGAUAUAAGGGACUAAGACAAGUCAUCAUGACCUGAACAUUGUGGGCUAUAGACGUGCCACAUUACCCUUAACAAAAAGAUGCAAAA
rnacentral:rRNA from 1 species